GUUAUAUGGUCAAGUGAAGAAGCGCAUACGGUGGAUGCCUUGGCAGUCAGAGGCGAUGAAAGACGUGGUAGCCUGCGAAAAGCUUCGGGGAGUCGGCAAACAGACUGUGAUCCGGAGAUGUCUGAAUGGGGGAACCCAGCCAUCAUAAGAUGGUUAUCUUACACUGAAUACAUAGGUGUAAGAGGCGAACCAGGGGAACUGAAACAUCUAAGUACCCUGAGGAAAAGAAAUCAACCGAGAUUCCCUUAGUAGUGGCGAGCGAACGGGGACCAGCCCUUAAGUUGUAUUGAGAUUAGCGGAACGCUCUGGAAAGGGCGGCCAUAGUGGGUGAUAGCCCUGUACGCGAAAAUCCCUUUGCAAUGAAAUCGAGUAGGACGGGGCACGAGAAACCUUGUCUGAAUAUGGGGGGACCAUCCUCCAAGGCUAAAUACUACUGACUGACCGAUAGUGAACCAGUACCGUGAGGGAAAGGCGAAAAGAACCGCGGAGAGCGGAGUGAAAUAGAUCCUGAAACCGUAUGCGUACAAGCAGUGGGAGCCCACUUUGUUGGGUGACUGCGUACCUUUUGUAUAAUGGGUCAGCGACUUAUUUUCAGUGGCGAGCUUAACCGAAUAGGGGAGGCGUAGCGAAAGCGAGUCUUAAUAGGGCGUCUAGUCGCUGGGAAUAGACCCGAAACCGGGCGAUCUAUCCAUGGGCAGGUUGAAGGUUGGGUAACACUAACUGGAGGACCGAACCGACUACCGUUGAAAAGUUAGCGGAUGACCUGUGGAUCGGAGUGAAAGGCUAAUCAAGCUCGGAGAUAGCUGGUUCUCCUCGAAAGCUAUUUAGGUAGCGCCUCAUGUAUCACUGUAGGGGGUAGAGCACUGUUUCGGCUAGGGGGUCAUCCCGACUUACCAAACCGAUGCAAACUCCGAAUACCUACAAGUGCCGAGCAUGGGAGACACACGGCGGGUGCUAACGUCCGUCGUGAAAAGGGAAACAACCCAGACCGUCAGCUAAGGUCCCAAAGUCAUGGUUAAGUGGGAAACGAUGUGGGAAGGCUUAGACAGCUAGGAGGUUGGCUUAGAAGCAGCCACCCUUUAAAGAAAGCGUAAUAGCUCACUAGUCGAGUCGGCCUGCGCGGAAGAUGUAACGGGGCUCAAACCAUGCACCGAAGCUACGGGUAUCACCUUUGGUGAUGCGGUAGAGGAGCGUUCUGUAAGCCUGUGAAGGUGAGUUGAGAAGCUUGCUGGAGGUAUCAGAAGUGCGAAUGCUGACAUGAGUAACGACAAUGGGUGUGAAAAACACCCACGCCGAAAGACCAAGGUUUCCUGCGCAACGUUAAUCGACGCAGGGUUAGUCGGUCCCUAAGGCGAGGCUGAAAAGCGUAGUCGAUGGAAAACAGGUUAAUAUUCCUGUACUUCUGGUUAUUGCGAUGGAGGGACGGAGAAGGCUAGGCCAGCCUGGCGUUGGUAGUCCAGGUUUAAGGUGGUAGGCUGAGAUCUUAGGUAAAUCCGGGAUCUUAAGGCCGAGAGCUGAUGACGAGUGUUCUUUUAGAACAUGAAGUGGUUGAUGCCAUGCUUCCAAGAAAAGCUUCUAAGCUUCAGGUAACCAGGAACCGUACCCCAAACCGACACAGGUGGUUGGGUAGAGAAUACCAAGGCGCUUGAGAGAACUCGGGUGAAGGAACUAGGCAAAAUGGCACCGUAACUUCGGGAGAAGGUGCGCCGGUGAGGGUGAAGCAUUUACUGCGUAAGCCCACGCCGGUCGAAGAUACCAGGCCGCUGCGACUGUUUAUUAAAAACACAGCACUCUGCAAACACGAAAGUGGACGUAUAGGGUGUGACGCCUGCCCGGUGCCGGAAGGUUAAUUGAUGGGGUUAGCGCAAGCGAAGCUCUUGAUCGAAGCCCCGGUAAACGGCGGCCGUAACUAUAACGGUCCUAAGGUAGCGAAAUUCCUUGUCGGGUAAGUUCCGACCUGCACGAAUGGCGUAACGAUGGCGGCGCUGUCUCCACCCGAGACUCAGUGAAAUUGAAAUCGCUGUGAAGAUGCAGUGUAUCCGCGGCUAGACGGAAAGACCCCGUGAACCUUUACUAUAGCUUUGCACUGGACUUUGAAUUUGCUUGUGUAGGAUAGGUGGGAGGCUUUGAAGCGUGGACGCCAGUCUGCGUGGAGCCAACCUUGAAAUACCACCCUGGCAACUUUGAGGUUCUAACUCAGGUCCGUUAUCCGGAUCGAGGACAGUGUAUGGUGGGUAGUUUGACUGGGGCGGUCUCCUCCUAAAGAGUAACGGAGGAGUACGAAGGUGCGCUCAGACCGGUCGGAAAUCGGUCGUAGAGUAUAAAGGCAAAAGCGCGCUUGACUGCGAGACAGACACGUCGAGCAGGUACGAAAGUAGGUCUUAGUGAUCCGGUGGUUCUGUAUGGAAGGGCCAUCGCUCAACGGAUAAAAGGUACUCCGGGGAUAACAGGCUGAUACCGCCCAAGAGUUCAUAUCGACGGCGGUGUUUGGCACCUCGAUGUCGGCUCAUCACAUCCUGGGGCUGAAGCCGGUCCCAAGGGUAUGGCUGUUCGCCAUUUAAAGUGGUACGCGAGCUGGGUUUAGAACGUCGUGAGACAGUUCGGUCCCUAUCUGCCGUGGACGUUUGAGAUUUGAGAGGGGCUGCUCCUAGUACGAGAGGACCGGAGUGGACGAACCUCUGGUGUUCCGGUUGUCACGCCAGUGGCAUUGCCGGGUAGCUAUGUUCGGAAAAGAUAACCGCUGAAAGCAUCUAAGCGGGAAACUUGCCUCAAGAUGAGAUCUCACUGGAACCUUGAGUUCCCUGAAGGGUCGUCGAAGACUACGACGUUGAUAGGUUGGGUGUGUAAGCGCUGUGAGGCGUUGAGCUAACCAAUACUAAUUGCCCGUGAGGCUUGACCAUAUAACACCCAAGCAAUU
rnacentral:rRNA from 1 species